AAUUCAGGUAUUUCCGACAGCACGUGAAAGCAGCGUGUGUUUACAUGAUGCUGCACGCCUUGCUGCGGUACAAGCACCUGGCUGUGGGGUGUGGUGAGGUCGGUUCACUUUAGUUUUCUUGUUAAUUUUAAGGCAACCUUCCAGUAUUGUUAGUAUAGUUGAACUGGUACCAGCUGGAGUGGACAUGGCCGACGGUAAAGGUGACGAGGUGAAGAAGGUGGACGCCUCUGGUCAGGAUCAGAGGUUUUCCUUCCCAUGGAGUAAGGACAAGGACAAAGGCGACUGCAAAGAAAAAUGUGAAGAGAAGAAAGACAAGAAAGACAGCAAGGACGGGUCAGACGGCUCCAAAAAAGAGCACAAGAAGAAGGAAAAGAAGGAGAAGAAAGAUAAGAAAGACAAAGAACAGAAAGACGGAAAUGAGUCGGACAGCUCCUCAUCCUCUUCAUCUUCAUCUUCAUCCUCCAGCAGUGAUGAGGAGGUUACCAACCAGGUCAGUGGACUGUAGGUGUGAGUCUGUCACAGAACUGGUUGUGCCAGCCGCCUCAGUUUUGCUUGGAGUCCACGCCCCACCCAGGAGAAGAAGAAGGAGUGAUUGCUUCACUGGACUUCUCUGUGCAUCUCACAUGAUGUUGUCUAUUGAAAAGUGUGUGUGUGUGUGUGUGUGUGUGUGUGUGUGUGUGUGUGUGUGUGUGUGUGUGUGUGUAGUCUCAUGGAAACAGUAGUUGUUUUUUGUGAACAAAAUGGCUAUUUCCAAGGAGUCAAUGUCCUGACAGUAAACUGUUUUUUGUUUUUUUUCCUGUGUCCUGUCAGUGAUUUCAGUUUUGCCAGAAGGUGGCAGCAUUUUCAGUAUAAAAUUUCAAUCAUUUCAAUAAAAUUUCAACAAUU